AUGAAAAGAGGCAUACCUGCUUCACCAACUCCCGCAAAGGGGGAGGCAUCAAGCUCAAAAAAUAUAAAGAAGGAAGAGUCUCCAAAAUAUAAGACAUAUCAAGAAUGCCUUCUAAAGGGGCUUGACCCUUUAGACAGUGAAUACAUAGAUCAAGAAAUGGAUAAAAGAUUUGAAGAAUUUUCAAAAAUAAUAAAGAAAGAAUUGAAAGAACAAAUAUUAAAAGAAUUAAGGCAUGAAAUGGACGAAAUUUUUGAAGAAAUAAAGAAAGAAUGUGAUCAAAAAUAUGAUUUCAAUCUGUUAAACGAUGAUGAUGAUCAUAUGGACAUAGCAGGGCAUGGGCAGCGACCUGAAUAA
rnacentral:rRNA from 1 species